rnacentral:rRNA from 1 species
GGUUUUUAGAAUUUAUUAAAAAUCCAACCUGCUCAAUGCUUAGUAAAUAGCCGCGGUAUCUUGACCGUGCAAAGGUAGCAUAAUCAUUAGUCUUAUAAUUGAAGACCGGAAUGAACGGUUUUUCUAAAUAAUCUUGUCUUAUAAUAAUAUUUUGAAUUUUAUAUUUUAGUAAGAAAGCUAAAUUUUUAUUUAGGGACGAGAAGACCCUAUUGAGCUUUACAAAAAAUUUUAUUUUUCACAAAAUAAAUUAAUUUUGUUUUACUGGGAUAGUAAAAAAAUAAAUAAUUUUUUUUUAUUAUUAUGAAUUUUAAUUCUCGUAAAAUCAAAAAAUUUUUAAAUAAAAACAAGUUACCAUAGGGAUAACAGCAUAAUUUUUCUUUAGAGAACAUAUCAAUAGAAAAGUUUAUGACCUCGAUGUUGGAUUAAAAAUCCUUCUCUACGCAAUAGUAGAAUUUAAGGAAGUCUGUUCGACUUUUAAAUUUUUCCA